GAUGAACGCUGGCGGCGUGCCUAAUACAUGCGAGUCGAGCGAACGGACGAGAAGCUUGCUUCUCUGAUGUUAGCGGCGGACGGGUGAGUAACACGUGGAUAACUUACCUAUAAGACUGGGAUAACUUCGGGAAACCGGAGCUAAUACCGGAUAAUAUUUUGAACCGCAUGGUUCAAAAGUGAAAGACGGUCUUGCUGUCACUUAUAGAUGGAUCCGCGCUGCAUUAGCUAGUUGGUAAGGUAACGGCUUACCAAGGCAACGAUGCAUAGCCGACCUGAGAGGGUGAUCGGCCACACUGGAACUGAGACACGGUCCAGACUCCUACGGGAGGCAGCAGUAGGGAAUCUUCCGCAAUGGGCGAAAGCCUGACGGAGCAACGCCGCGUGAGUGAUGAAGGUCUUCGGAUCGUAAAACUCUGUUAUUAGGGAAGAACAUAUGUGUAAGUAACUGUGCACAUCUUGACGGUACCUAAUCAGAAAGCCACGGCUAACUACGUG
rnacentral:rRNA from 1 species